rnacentral:tRNA from 1 species
GGGGCUGUGGCUCAGAGGUAGAGCGCUCACCUACCAUGUGUGGGGCACUGGGUUCGAUCCCUAGCACCA